rnacentral:lncRNA from 1 species
CCACUCUUCACUCCUGCAGUCUGGGAGUGUGUCACCACCCGCAGCUCAGCGAGCUGGCCAGGAAUAUGUUAUACUCCUUUUACUCCCGCUGUUUGGCAGGUCCCAAGUUCUUGUUUCGCAUCCAGGAAGAAUGAGGUUAUGUGGAUAACUGGAGGAGACAGGGUCUUGCUCAGCUGCACAGCCCAGAGUACAGUGGAGUGAUCAUAGCUCACUGCCGUCUCCAACUCCUGGACUUAAAUGAUUCUCCCUUCUCAGACUCCUGAGUAGCUGGUACUGUAAGUGCACACCAUCAUGCCUGGCUAAUUUUGAGAUGGGGGUUUUGCUUUUGUCACUCGGGCUGGAGUGCAAUGGCGCAAUCUCGGCUCAGUGCAACCUCUGCCUCCUGGGUUCAAGCAAUUCUCCUGCCUAAGCCUCCACCUCCCGAGUAGCUGGGAUUACAGGUAUGAGCCACCACACCCAGCUAAUUUUGUAUUUUUUAGUAGAGAUGGGGUUUCUCCAUGCUGGUCAGGCUGGUCUUGAACCCCUGACCUCAGGUGAUCCACCCGCCUUGGCCUCCCGAAGUGCUGAGAUUACAGGCAUGAGCCACCACGCCUGGCCUUAAUUUAUUAUCAAAACCAUCUCACUGGUCUUUGUGUUGCUUACAAUUUUUUGCCAACAGAUUCAAAACGCAGUUCUGAUUCUAUCAUUUACCUGCUAAGAACACUUUCAAUUUACUAGCAGAAUAGAUUCUAAUGCUGACAUUUAAGUAAGCCCUCCAUAAUUUGAUUUUAUCUUCUAGCUGGAUCUCUGUUAGGUUCUCUGCCCAAACUCCCCAGUCUUCCUCCCUUCCUUCCUUCCUGCCUUCCUUCCUUCCUUCCUUCUUUCCCUUCCUUCCUUCUUUCCCUCCCUUCCUUCCUGCCUGCCUUCCUUCCUUCCCUUCCUUCCUUCCUGCCUUCCUUCCUUCUUUCCCUCCCUUCCUUCCUGCCUUCCUUCCUUCCUUCUUUCCCUCCCUUCCUUCCUUCCCUUCCCUUCCCCUUCCUUCCUUCCUCUUUCUUUCUUUCCUUCCUUCCUUCCUUCCUUCUUUCCUUCCUUCCUUCCUUCUCUCUCUCUCUCUCUUCUUUCUUUCUUCUGAGACAGAGUCUUGCUCUGUCGCCCAACUUGGAGUGCAGUGGUGUGAUCUCAGCUCACUGCAACCUCCACCUCCUGGGUUCAAGCGAUUCCCUGCCUCAGCCUCCCAAGUAGCUGGGAUUACAGGCACCCACCACCAUGGCUGGCUAAUUUUUGUAUUCUUAGUAGAGACGGGGUUUCACCAUCUUGGCUAGGCUGGUUUCAAACUCCUGACCUCGUGAUCUGUCUGCCUCGGCCUCCCAAAAUGCUGGGAUUCAGUGUUUCUUAAAGUGUGGUAGGAGAAUGGGUUGCCUUAACACUAUCUGGAAUGCUUGUUAACCCAAUCCCAGACCUAUGGAAUCGGAAGUAGGGCCUAUGCAUUUGCACAUCUAACAAUGUGCACUAAAAUUUGAUACCCGCUGGCCUACUCUCUAGUCAGACUCAGCCACUCAGCAAUCCACAGAGGAACCCGACACUCUCGCCUCUGCCUUUGCUACCUGAGCUGGGAGCGAUGUCUCUCUUCUGACCCCUAUAGCAUAUUGCUCACACCUUUCCUAGUUUGCUUGUUGCAUGCAGAUUCACCAUAGUUGUUUACAUAAAUCUUUUUUUUUUUUUCUUUUUUUGAGACAGGGUCUCACUGUCGCCCAGGCUGAAGUGCAGUGGCGUGAUCACGGCUCAUGGCAGCCUCAACCUCUCCAACCUCUCGGGCUCAAGCGAUACUUCCACCUCCACCUCCUGCGUAGCUGGGACUACAGGUUUAAAACAUACUCCUCUUCUUCAUCGGUGGUAAAGAGAUUCAACCGGAAUCCGGGCUCAGGGCCACUGGGUUUCUUAAUCUCCAUCCCUCCCAUCAGCCUGGCCAAGAAAUUCAGCUCUUCUUUAGCAAGAGGGUUUGGAGCAAUGCUUUCCUGCAGAAACAGUUGCAUGAUUUUUAGCCACAUGAAGGCAAUCACAUUUCCUGCUAAAACCUCAGAGACACAGGUAGGUAUUAUAAAAUAAGGUAGAACAAUUGCUAUUUAAAUUAUUUCUGGGUCCAAAUAAAGUGUAGAAAGCAGCCUUAACCAAAAGAAAAACAAUCACGUCAGUAGCAGAGGGAAUGUAGCAACUUUGCAAACCAGAGAUUUUCAUACUUUCCGCAAGAGUGGAAGCCCCAGGGAUCCACGUUUCUCCUCUCACUACCUUCCUCCUUGAAGAAGUGUAUGGCUUCCUUUCCUGUCAAUCGGUUUCCCUCAGCAUUUACAAGUCGCCUCAGUCCAGUCUCCUUCCAGAGGCGCUGCCACACUGCCCUCAGGUGGUGACGGCCGGGAACACACCCUCGAGUCCAUUCCCUCCUCUCACAGUCCUCAUCCUGCCUCAUCCUGUACCCCUCUUCCUUGUAGCCUGGCCUCCCCUGUUCUGCCUCUCCCCUCACUCCACCACCAGUUACCUAAAUGCAGUUUUUGUCUCAUUUCUCCCUGGCUUGAAACAAAGCCCUCUGCCUCCUGUCGAAAGAACAAAGCCCAAAUUGUUUACCACCCUUCCUGGUCAGGCCCCAGGGUCCUGUCCAGGCGAGUCUCUGCCAGCAAGCCUCCAUGAUACUGUGAUCCGUUACGUAAGCCUCGUGGGAGACACCGCCAUCCUCCUCCCGGGAACACUCUUGCCCCUCUGUCACCUUGGUCCGUGUGCCCAUUUCUCCCUCUCUGCUGUUUCAUAGUUUACCUACUCUAGAGCCCCACUUCAAUAUCCCCGCCUCUGAAAUGCCUUCUUGAUCCCUGUGAUCCCUGUCCACUGGACAGACAUGAAUUCCUCUGGCACAGCACUUUGUGCAGGAUCCCCAGCCAGCCCUUCCUCCACCUCAUUUGAGUUGUUUCUUUCACCGUCUUUCCCAGGGUACCACAGGCCCCUUCAAGAUGGGACCACAUCUACGUCAGCUUCGUGUCCCUGGGUCCCCAGCCCAUAGAAGCAGUUUAAUAAAUGUUUGCUGAAUAAUUUAAUAUUCUGUGAUCUCUCCUACAGCUAGCUGGGAGCUAGUUCAGCGAAAACUUCUAAGGAUGGAAUUCAGAGAAACUAAAACCCCCCACUCUGACUUAGCUACCACGGUGCUAUAGAGGGAAACAUUAAAAAGAAAUGUUUUAAUGAUCAGAAUACACACGAGUGCUGAUGUCAGCAAUCACGGACCUAAUGGCACUGGUACUACGCUACUGCAUAUGUCCUGGUGUGUGGUUCCUCUUAAUUAUGGUGGCCGAGCCAAGCCUAAAAUUACCUAAUUAGUGAGAUCACUGGAAGUCUCCAUGAAAAGCUACAAUUAAAACCUGUGUACUCGUAAGGUGGAAUGGAGAAGAUUGCACACAACAGGGGAAAUGUUGGCUAGAUCCGAAAUCUAAAGCGUUCUCACCUCUCUUUAUGUAGACUUCCGUAUCUAGAGAGAAGCUGUGAGGGUAGGCAAGGAAGGCAGAAGCUCACCUGGGUCCAUGAGGCUAAGUUCUUUGAUGAUCCAGACACAUGAGUUUCCACAGGCUGAUUCACGCUGUACCUGGUGUGUCAACAGAAAAUGGUGACAUUAUCCAGCCCCUUUCCACGGACUUCUCUCUAACUCGUAAGCAUAGUUUGUAGCUUUUAUUCUGAGACAUUAAAUAGCAUCCAGAAAGGUGCUGUGGGUACAGAAUGCAACUGAGUGUGUGUUAACCAUUCACAUUUCACUUCUUCCUAAAGAAAAACACCUGGGGAGGCUGGGUGGCAAUGCCUCCUCUUGUGAAGAGUAACACGCAUCACUGAAAAUAUAUGCAGCUUUACAGAACGGAUAAGUCUUUCUGGAUUUCCACUGCAACACAGAUUUUGGCUAGUUCUCUUGCAUGGCUAUUGAACAUCAUGUAUCUUUUCAUUCUGUUGAGUUGCCUUAUGUUUGGCGUUCCUGGGUGCCCUUUGAAAUGUCAGGCCUCUGUAUGCAGUGUACCUAAGGGGAAAUUACUCCUAUUGUCGGCAGGGAUUUUCAUAGCAGAAGUCUGGCUGUUUCUCUUUUUUUUUUUUUAAAUGAAGUGACCUCCCUUGGACUUGAAUUCACUCAGAGAAGAAUUUGCUUACAUGUUAGUUCCCAGUUUCAGGACUCGGUCUCCAUAAAGUUCAAAAGAACCUUCUUUGGGUGCAGGGACAUAGUUUCCACCAUGCUUGAAUUCUAUCCUCUUCACUUCUUCACCUUUGUUGUUGAACAUUCUACAAUACAAAGUAUGACAUGAUGGAAUGUUCUCCAAGCUUAGGUAGUCCUGGAGGCUUCUUUAUUCUUUGUACUACAGAACAAAAAAGGAAUACAUGCUCUCCUUCAAGAUAAAGGUGCUGGUUGUAAUAAUAAUAAUAAUAAUACAAUAAUAAUAUUUAUUGAGCAUAUGUAUGUGCCAAUUGCUUUGUAAGCACGUUAGAGCACUAUUAUCUUAUUCAUCCACACAGUAACCAUUUAACAGAUGAGGAAAUUAGUCCUGGGGAACUGGGUAACUUGCCUCAAGUCCCUCUACUAAGUGACAAGGUGGGGAUUAGAACCUGACUUUUUCAAUAGCUGUUUUACUGAAGAAAGAGAAGGGCUGGGCAGACUGUGAGUGGCUUGGCAGUGCGGCAUUCCGUGUGCGGCCCAUGUGCUGAUUUCCUAGCACCCCAAACAUAGCUCUGAUCAUUGUUGGGAAUUCACCUGAUGAGUCCUGGAACUUCAGUUCCCCAAGGAACAGGCCCGGACACCGGCAACACAAAGCGACCGUUAUUAUUCUGAACUUUGUCCUUUAGAAACAUGGAUACCUGGAAAAAAAUACAUUUAUUGUCAUUUUUCUUGGUAUAUUUUCAUAGACAUCAAUAUUCUGAGGGUGGAAAGUGCGUAAUGGUUUGGGAACAUGACCUAUGAGUUUAUAACAAUAAGAAGGGAGAGGCUGGGCGCAGUGGAUCAUGCCUGUAAUCCCAGCACUUUGAGAGGCUGAGGCAGGCGGAUCAUGAGGUCAGGAGAUAGAGACUAUCCUGGCUAACACGGUGAAACCCUGUCUCUACUAAAAAUACAAAAAAUUAGCCGGGCGUGGUGGUGGGCACCUGCAGUCUCAGCUACUCAGGAGGCUGAGGCAGGAGAAUUGCUUGAACCUGGAAGGCAGAGGUUGCAGUGAGCCAAGAUCGUGCCAUUGCACUCCAGCCUGGGCGACAGAGUAAGACUUCAUCUCAAAAAAAUAAAAAAAUAAAAAAAAGAAGGGAGAAAAAAUUACACUUGCAGAGUUAACUGUAUUUUAACAAACAGAACUAUUUUUUUUUUUGAGAUAGGGACUCACUUUGUCACCCAGGCUGGAGUGCAGUGGCACGAUCUUGCCUCACUGCCACCUCAGCCCCGCCAGCUCACGCGAUUCUCCCGUCAUAGCCCCCAAGUAGCUGGGACCACAGGUGUGAGCCACUGUGCCCAGCUAAUUUUUAUAUUUUUUUGUAGAGAUGGGUUUUCGCCAUGUUGGCCAGGCUCAAAAUCCUAAGCCCAAGUGAUCUGCCUGCCUCGGCCUCCCAAAGUGCUGGGAUUACAGGCGUGAGCCACCGUGCUCGGCUACAAACAGAACUACUUUUGAGCAGCGCAGCAAACCUUCCAGGUGAGUCCUAUUACCCCCAUUUUAAAGACGAGAAAGCUAAAGUAGAGAGUGAAGUGACUUGCCCAAAGAGAGCUAAGAGGCAGGGCCAGGAUUCAAAACCAAAGGUGACUCCAAAUUCCACCCGUAUGCCUUGGUUCCCUGCCUACUUUCCAUGCAGCUGCAGGCCUUGAGCUGUAAGAACCUCAUAUGGCCACUUUCUACAUGAGGCAGCUCAGAGGUUAAGAUGCCUCCUCAAGGUCAGCCAGCUGGUAAGGGGCAGAGCUGAGGAUUCAAACUCCUGUGAUUCUGACUUUGGAGCCCGAACCUUAUCCACAUGCUGGACUAGAAAGAAGGAUGGGGCUGGGGCAGGGGGAUCCAGCUGACAUUUAAGUUUGAGGAUCUUUUAGGUGACUGAAAACACAUUACACUUAUUCCUUCUCCUGGGUUCGUGUACUCUGUAUAGAGGUUUCGGUCACUCACAGAUUAAAUCUCAUAAAGAUAGUAGCAGUUAAUCAGUUUUACUGGGUCUUGGCUUCCUUAUCUGUAAAAUAAGAGAUGAGCUUGAAGAUCUUUUCAACUCUAAUAUUCUAUAAGGUUAUAUUAGUAAUAUAAUCAAGAAUAAGUAUCUUAGGCUGGGUGUGGUGGCUUACGCCUGUAAUCCUAGCACUUUAGGAGGCUGAGGCGGGUGGAUCACCUGAGGUCAGGAGUUCGAGACCAGCCUGGCCAACAUGGUGAAACCCUGUGUUUAAUAAAAAUAAAAAAAUUACCAGGGUGUGGUGGCUCAUGCCUGUAAUCCCAGCUACUCACAAGGACAAGGCACGAGAAUCGCUUGAACCCCAGAGGUGGAGGUUGCAGUGAGCCGAGAUCAUGCCACUGCACUCCAGCCUGGGCAACAGAGCAAGACUCUGUCUCAAAAAAAAAAAAAAAAAUGGAAAGAAUAAGCAUUUGUUGUGUGCAAGGCAGUGAAAAUGCAAAGCGAUAAGAAUGUGUGAGCUGGCAGCUUGGCAUACUGAUGUUAGACUCUGAAGGCUUAAAUACUGGACGGGCCACUUCUGGGUUUUUGGGAAAUUACACAACCUUUCUGUGCAUCAGUUUUCCCUUUGGUAACCUGGGGGUAAUAAUAGUAAUAAUAAUAGAUAACUCGGUGGGUUACUGUGACAACUAAAUCAGACAGUGUAUAAAAAGUAAAGCCGGCUGGGUACAGUGGCUCACGCCAGUAAUCCCAGCACUUUGGGAGGCUGAGGCGGGAGGAUCAUGAGGUCAGGAGUUCAAGACCAGCCUGGCCAACAUGGUGAAACCCUGUCUCUACUAAAAAUACAAAAAAUUAGCUGGGUGUGGUGGCAUGUGCCUGUAAUCUGGCUACUCGGGAGGCUGAGGCAGGAGAAUCGCUUGAACCCAGGAGGUGGAGGUUGCAUUGAGCUGAGACCUUGUCACUGUAUUCCAGCCUGGGCAACAGAGCAAGACUCUAUCUGGAAAAAAAAAAAAAAAAGCAAAGGCUGACACAUAGACUAUGUGCUCAAUAAAUGGUAGCCAAUACUCUUAUUAUUACAAGUCUAUUUGGACACAGGACACAAGCAUAAAAUGGAGAAAAUAACACUUUAAAGCAGGACAUGCUACAUAGCAGGUGCAUAGAAGCUUGCUGAGGAGAAUGACUGCUGGCAUGCCGGGAGUCUGGGGGGAGGCAGGCGUGACUGUGGGUCUGGAGCUGAGCCUGGAGGAAGAAGGUAGGUGUAGAGACACUUCAGAGAUGGAGAUGAGCAGGUGUGAGUCACGUUUUCAGGGGAACAUGUAAACUGGUUUGGUCAGAGGGUUUGCUGGAUGACGUUUAAGACAUUUUUAACCUCAAGAUUCUGUGACCAAGGGAUGUGAGUACAAGAAAGGAGAAAGAAAAUUUAGAGGGAGAAUUGGGAAUAUUUAUAUGUGCUAGAAACUCUGUUAGUUUAAUCUUAUGAGGUUGACUAUGGCAUGGUAGAUCUGAAAUGUACAAAUUUAGGUCAUGUGUGUGUCUGUGUUUGGCCUGAGACUCUGCCAGUGGCUGGAGAGGACUGUUAGGUCUGUUUGCUUGCUCAGCCCCUCUGCUGGCCUUUUCUUCUCCCUCCACCCUUUCCUUUCCGAGGUGAUCUCGUCUCCUCCCAUACUCCAGGGCUCACCUCUGAGCUCAUGGCUCCCAGAUCUCAAGGUCCCACUCCAGCUCCUUCCCUGGCACUGACCCAUCCAUCCCAUUGCCUGUCACACAUUUCCAUCUAUGGGUCCCCUAGGAUGUACCUCAAAUUCCCCCUGCUCAGAACAGGGCCCAUCUUUGUCUCUUCCUCAACCCUUCAGUUGCCAAGCCUUUCCUCUCCACCCCAACUAUUGCUCCCUAUGCAGGCCUUCACUGUUUUCUGCCUGCCCCACUGCAGAAGCCUCCUGUCUGGUCUCCCUGCCUUCCUUCUCGCCUGCUGUAUUUUUUUAUUUUAAUUUUUUAAGGCAGCAUCUUGCUCUGUAGCCCAGGCUGUAGUGCAGUGGUGCGAUCUCGGCUCACUGCAACCUCUGCCUCCCGGGUUCAAGUGAUUCUCCUACCUCAGCCUCCUGAAUAGCCGGGACUACAGGCAUGUGCCACCACACCCAGCUAAUUUUUGUAUUCUUAGUAGGGACGGGGUUUCACCAUGUUGGCCAGGCUGGUCUCGAACUCCUGACCUCAAGUGAUCUGCCUGCCUCAGCCUCCCAAAGUGCUGGGAUUACAGGUGUGUGCCAUGGUGCCUGGCCUCUUUUUUUUUUUGAGAUGGAGUCUUGCUCUGUCGCCCAGGCUAGAGUACAGUGGCAUGAUCUCGGCUUACUGCAACCUCUGCUUCCUGGGUUCAAGCGAUUCUCCUGCCUCAGCCUCCCGAGUAGCUGGGAUUACAGGCGCCCGCCACCAUGCCUGGCUAAUUUUUGUAUUUUUUAGUAGAGAUGGGGUUUCACCAUCUUGGCCAGGCUGGUCUCGAACUCCUGACCUCAUGAUCCACCUGCCUUGGCCUCCCAAAGUGUUGGGAUUACAGGCGUGAGCCAUGGCGCCUGGCCUUUUUUUUUUUUUUUGACACAGAGUCUUGCUCUGUUGCAUAGACUGGAGUACAGUGAACAUGAUCAUAGCUUACUGCAGCCUUGAAAUCCUAGGCUCAAGGAAUCCUCCGGCCUUGGCCUCCCAAAGUGCUUGGAUUACAGGUAUGAGCCAUCACUCCCAGUCAGAAUAUUAUCACGCCCAGCUAAUUUUUGUAUUUUUAGUAGAGACGGGGUUUCACCAUGUUGGCCAGGAUGGUCUCGAUCUCUUGACCUUGUGAUCUGCCCGCCUUGGCCUCCCAAAGUGCUGGGAUUACAGGCGUGAGCCACUGCACCCAGCUGAAAGCCUUUUCAUUAUAAUGAAUUUUAUCUUGUCGGAACUGGGAAAUCAAUAUGGCUGUUUAUGUUACUACCAAUCCAUAAAAUAAUACCCAAAUAUGCAGCCCUGAUAACAAUAUGAUACAGAAUUUUUAAUAUUUCAAAAUUGUUAUUUUAAAUUUAAUGAAAAACUUAAUCUUAUUUGUACUUUCAUAUUUUUUAUUUUAAUCAAUGACAGAGAUCUUAAUUUAUAUUGAUGUUAUUAUUGCUUCAUCCAUAGCAAAUACAAUUCUUCAUGAGAGUUAAAAAUAAGGCCGGGCGCUGUGGCUCGCGCCUAUAAUUCCAGCACUUUGGGAGGCCGAGGCGGGUGGAUUGCCUGAGGUCAGGAGUUCAAGACCAGUCUGGCCAACGUGGUUAAACCCCGUCUCUACUAAAAAUACAAAAAAAUUAGCUGGAUGUGGCGGUGUGCACCUGUAAUCCCAGCUACUCGGGAGGCUGAGGCAGGGGAAUUGCUUGAACCAGGGAGGUGGAGGUUGCAGUGAGCUGAGAUGGUGCCACUGCACUCCAGCCUGGGCGACAGAGCCAGACUGCAUCUCAAAAAAAAAAAAAAAAAAAAAGAAAGAAAAAUUUGGCAUCAGAAUUGAAAUCUAUUUAUCUUCCUUUGUCCAUGGAAGGGAAAUACAAUAAGGCACUAAAUACAUUGCAUUUCUUCCCCUUUUUAAAAUUUUAUUUUGCCCAGGUACAAAACUCAAAGUUCUCAAAAGGGUAUACAUAAUGGAAAGUCAGUCUCCUUCUCCUGUCCUCCAUAUAGUUCCCCACUCCUGGAAGGCAACACUGUGCACUGUGAACAGUUUCUUGCAUAUGCUUCCAGAAGCACUCUCUCUGUAUAUGCACAAACAAAUACAUAUAUGUUACAUAUGCUGUUUCAGUUAAUCCAACAAAAUUAGGUAUUAUAAUUUUCAUUUUUCAGAUGAAGAAACUAAGACUUAAGAGAAGUUAUUUUGCCCAAGGUCAUGGAGCUAGUCCUAUAGUUGGGAUUCAUUUUCUUAAUUAAAAAUUGUUUUAUUUUGGCUGGGCAUGGUGGCUCAUGCCUGUAAUCCCAGCACUUUGGGAGGCUGAGGCGGGCGGAUCGCCUGAGGUCAAGAAUUUGAGACCAGCCUGGCUAACAUGGUGAAACCCCAUCUCUACUAAAAAUACAAAAAUUAGCCAGGCGUGUUGGCAGGCGCCUGUAAUCUCAGCUGUUUGGGAGGCUGAGGCAGGAGAAUUGCUUGAACCCGGGAGGUGGAGGUUGCAGUAAGCCGAGAUUGUGCCACUGCAUUCCAGACAGAGUGAGACUCUGUCUCAAAAACAAAACAUUUUAUUUUAAGGACAGAGUCUCACUAUGUUGCCCAGGAUGGUCUUGAACUCCUGGGCUGAAGUGAUCCUCCUGCCUCAAUAUCCCAAGUAGUUCAGACUACAGGCACUCGCCACUGUGGCCAGCUCUGGAGUUGAGAUUCAAAGAGAAAGGUGAAGCUGGGCACAGUGGCUCACACUUGUAAUCCCAGCACUUUGAGAGGCCAAGGCAGGCAGAUUGCUUGAGCUCAGGAGUUCAAGACCAACCUGGGCAACAAAGCAAGAUUCUGUCUCUACAAAAAAUACAAAAAAUUAGCCAGGCGUGGUGGCAUGCUCCUGUAGUCCCAGUUACUCGAGAGGCUGAGGUGGAAGGUCACUUGAGCCCAGGAGAUUGAGGCUGCAGUGAGCCAUGAUUGUGCCACCAUACUCCAGUCUGGGCAACAAAAUGAGAACCUGUCUCAAAAAAAAAAAAAAAGAGAAACAUGUCUGGCUCCAGAGCCUGGGCUUGUUUUACCAUAUCAUACCAUCUUUCCCACAUCAGUUGGUUAAAUUGUGGCAGGAAACAAAGCCCUGUCCAAGAGAGACACAUUCAAAAUUCAGAAGCUUAGAAUUUUUUUUUUUUUUUUUUUUUUUUUGAGACAUGGUCUCGCUCUGACACCUGGUCUGAAUCAUGGAUCCACCAUGGCUCACUGCAGCCAUCCUCCCAUUUCAGCCUCCUAACUGGGACUAUAGGCAUGCGCCACCAUGCCUGGCUAAUUUUUGUUUUUGUAGAGAUGGGGUUUUACCAUGUUGCCGAGGCUUCAGAAAUGUGUUUUUAUUUUAUUUUUAUUUAUUUAUUUAUUUUUUUGAGACAGGGUCUCAGCCCAGGCUGGAGCACAGUAGCAUGAUUUUUUUUUUUUUUUUGAGAUGGAGUCUUGCUCUGUCGCCCAGGCUAGAGUGCAGUGGCACUAACUCAGCUCACUGCAACCUCUGCCUCUCAGGUUCACGCGAUUCUCCUGCCUUAGUCUCCCGAGUAGCUGGGAUUAAAGGCGCCUGGCUAAUUUUUGUAUUUUUAGUAGAGACGGGGUUUCACCAUGUUGGCCAGGCUGGUCUCAAACUCCUGACCACGUGAUCCACCCGCCUCGGCCUCCCAAAGUGCUGGGAUUACAGGCGUGAGCCACUGCGCCCAGCCUAGUAGCAUGAUCUUGGCUCUCUGCAGCCUUGACCUCCUGGGCUCAAGUGAUCCUCCUACCUCAGCCUCCCAAAUAUCUGGGAAUACAGACACGCACCACCUUGCCCAGUUAAUUUUGUAUUUUUGGUAGAGAUGGGGUUUGUCAUGUUGCCCAGGCUGGUCUCAAACUCCUGGGCUCAAGUGAUCCGUCCACCUUGGCCUCCCAAAGUGCUAGGAUUACAGGCAUGAGCCACUGUGCCUGGCUAGAAAAUGUGUUUUUAAAAGUUAGGAUGUAGAAUUGCCUAGCUAUGUAGGCAAGGCAGGAGGAGAGGGGCCCAGUUGGGAAGCAUAGCCCACAAGAGUAUGAGGGCCUGAGCCAGGAUGGUGGCAACAGGGAUGGAGAGGAAGGCGUGCCAGGGCAUGGUGGCUCACACCUAUAAUCCUAGCACUUUGAGAGGCUGAGGGAGGAGGAUCAUUUGAGCCCAAAAGUUAGAGACCAGCCUGGGAAACAUAGUAAGACACUGCCUCAAAAAAAAAGGAAAAGAGGGUGUAGAUAUUGACAAGGCCGACUCUAUUUUUGUUUGUUUGUUUGUUUUUGAGACGGAGUCUCCCUCUGUCGCCCAAGCUGGAGUGCAGUGGUGCGAUCCCGGCUCACUGUAACCUCCGCCUCCUGGGUUCAAGCAAUUCUCCUGCCUCAGCCUCCUGAGUAGCUGGGACUACAGGUGCUUGCCACCAUGCCCGGCUCACUUUUGUAUUUUUAGUAGAGAUGGGGUUUUACCAUGUUGGCCAGGCUGGUCUCAAACUCCUGACCUCAGGUGAUCUGCCCACCUUGUCCUCCCAAUGUGCUGGGAUUACAGGCGUGAGCCACUGCGCUCCGCCGACUCUAUGGGUCUUAGAAGCAAUUGGAUGAAGAUCAGGGAAGGGGAAUCAAAGGUGACAUUCUGGUUCUGAGUCAAGUGAGUAGGAGAAUGGUGGUGGUGCCCUCAAAAGAAAUGAGAAAGUCAGGGCAGCACCUGAACUGUGGAGAUUAGUUUAGCUACAGACAGCAAGUUGUAGGCACUGGUGGGCAUCCUGGUGGGAAGUUUCAGCAAGGUGGUGGAGAUGUGAGUCUGGAGGGCAGGGGUGGGGCCAGGGUAGAGUAGAGGUUAGACUCAGGAGUCACAGGCAGAGGAGUUGGUAGACAAAAGGGUGAGGAAGGAGAUGCCUAAUUAGCAGGAGGUGGGUAGAGACAGGAGUAAGGUUUGGAGACAGAUGGCGGGAGAGGAAGGAGUAAGAGGCAUUGAGAUGGGAGAGGGAAGGGAAGGGAAGCCCAGGAUGGUACAGAGCCAUGAAAGACCUGGAAAGGUGAGAGUUCCAUGGAGGAGGGGCAGCCUUCUGACAGUGUCAGUACUGGAGAGGUCAAGGAGGAUACAGCUCAACAAAAGGUUUUGCAGUUGAGAUCAGGCUGUUGACUUGACAGCAUAUUUCCUCUGGAGAAGUAACAGAAGAAACUAUAUUUCCAAGAAACUCACAAGGUAAUCAAAAAAGAAUGGCAGCAUCACUGUCUUCCUUGGUCCAUUUAAAAACUGCUGAGAUGUAUUAUCAAUAUCUUUAUCAUUAGAGAGGCAAACCCUGAGGACAUCACUAACUGGGCAAAAUCUCCGUCCUUGUUUGCCCUCAUGACUACCAGGGUUGUUUCCCUGGUACAGCAGCUCCUGAGUGUUCCCAGGGCUGCCUAUUGACUUACUCGGAUGUGCAGGUCUUGGAAGAAGAUGAGGAGUGUCUGCCGGAUCAGCUGGAACUCCCCUGCAGAGAGACCACCAUAUAUCUGCCAAAGGCAAGCAGAAAGCAGCACUUCACUUUCCAAGAGGGAUGAGUAGUACGCACCGGCAGGGCAGAUGGGUACUCAGGGAUGGGAGCCAGAUAGGUAAGGAGAGGACUGGGCUGCUGGGCAGGAGGGGCAGCGGGGAGACCAGCAGUGCUGCCUCUCCACGGUGACAAAGCCUGUUACCCCACACCUGAGCAGGGGUACACUUCCUGUCUCCCAUUCUCCACAGACCUGGAGAGCCUGUUCCCCAAGAUUUAGCAGAACAUCCACCACCAAGUCCCUUUCCGAAAAGUGAGGAGAAAAUGGCUAUGCUCUGUAUAUUGCUUUUCCAAUUGUGAAGGCAUCAGUAAGAGGACAUAAGAUGAUGAUGCCUGUUACAUUACCAAAAUGGACACGGAUUGCUUUUCAGAAUGUUCUGGGAGAGUGGCAGGCUUUGCCAUUCCUCAUCCUGUUCUCUCUGUCAUAGAUCUACCUGUUCUUAACAGAGGGAUGAGAAAAAGUACUGGGGCUGAGAGGCGAGACACUGAUGGCACUCUUACUUCUGUCAGCUGCCGCAAAGUCUCGUCCACUUGCUGCAGGAUGGUUGGGGAGUCUCGGAUGAAUCCCUUGAUGGUAUCCAAGUGAUUGAAAGUGACCAGCAGCACAUCCUUGGGUCGGGGACACAGCAAUACUUGAUAUUUGAAAGCCAUGGUCAUCAGGUCAUAGAGCUGCCAACCCACACACAAGCAAAAGAAAUGGGAUCAUAUCAAAAUCAGGUGUGAGAAUCUCCAAACAGUGAUUCAGUCAAGCAUUUACUGAAAACCAACUCUGGGCUUGCCAUACAGCUCGGGGGACCAUAUCACUUAUCACCCAAACCAAGACACUUCUGAGAGUCAAGGCGGGUGCUUUUAAUAAUUAAGCCAGGAAAACAGGAGUAAGCCAGCACAUUCCUGGGCAAACCAGGAUUUCUGGUCACCUGAUGUGUAUUGUUAAUGGGAUACGUCUGAAAUAAUAUUGGCAGCAGCGGAGUCCCAAAGUGAGCACUGGAUCUGGAGAAAGAAAAUGCAAAUUUAAGUACUCCUUUCCUCCUAACUUAUUGUAUAACCUUGGCCAAGUUUCUUAACCUCUUUGGGCCUGAGUUUUCUCAUCUGUAAAAAAAUACUCUCUAAUUUCCCAAUGUUGCAGAGGUGCUGAGAGCAAUAAAUGAGGCAAUAUGUGUGCAAGUGGCAAGCAUAGAGUUCUACAACUUUAUAAGAAUCAUUUUAAAUGAUGAACUAUGUGGAUAUCAACAAGCCAUCUCCACAUAGGUGUGGUAUGACCAUACAUGAAAGAUCAGAAGGGAGGAACUGGUGGGGACCAAAGUGGUGAAGGCAGGCUUUGUGGUACAAGUGGCCUUAUAUAGCCCUCGAGGCAGCUGCAGGAUUUAAAUUGGCUGAGGGCAGAGGAAAGACAUUCCAGUUGAGGGAAACAGUACAUGUGAGGGCCUGGAGGCAGCAAUGAGUAUGUUAUUUUUCUGGGAGAAAGAGGAGAAUGGCCUGAGGACAGUUUGUGUUGGGGAUGGCAGGUAAUAAAGCUGGGUAAGUAUGGCAAAUGAAGAUGGCAACAAUAGAAACUGGGGACUGCAAGAAUGGGGAGGGAGGGAGGGAGGUAGGGGUCAAGGGCUGAAAAACUAACUAUUGGGUACUAUGCUGACUACCUGACUGAUGGGCUCACUUGUACCCCAGACCUCAGGAUCACGCAAUAUACCCAUGUAACAAACCUGUGCAUGUACCUCCUGAAUAUAAAAUAAAAGCUGAAUUAUUAAAAAUAGAAUAAAGUUUUUGGGGAGAUACACAAUAUAAUUUAGACUAGAUGUAGUAGAAGUUAGGGGGUUAAAGUUUUCUGGGCUGACAUGAUCAAAGUGGUGACUGAACGAGAUCUGGCAAUGAUGAGCUGUGACAGAAGGGAGAGACUAGUUAGGGGGAGUAGCUAGCACCUGGUUCCUGAAAAGAUUACAAUAAAUAUCUACUGAUUGCAUGAAUGAAAGAAAUGUUGUUGGAGCAAUCCAGACUUAAGGCCUGGAAAAAAGAUAGUGGGAACGGAGAAGUCAGGGAAAGGAAGAUCACGCGAUAUUUAGAAGGAAAAGCUGUCAGUAGGUGGUGACUGCCUAGAUUUGGGGGAUGAUGAUCAGGGUUGUCCAGAAGGACUGCACCUUUUCAGCCUAGUGCGGGUGGGGAGGGAUGAUGCUAUUGAUGGAGGAAAAGACGUCUGAGGGAUGUGGGAGCGGAAGAGCCAGGAGAGAAGAUGGACGGUUAACUUAAGGACAUGUCUGGGGCAGGAUUGAAACGAUAAACAACUACCAUCUGAGUGUCAUGCCAAGCACGUGUAUAUAUAUUACCUCAUUUGAUCCCAUUUAUUCUUCACAAGAACUCUAUGAGGUAGGUAUUAGCCCAGUUUAAUAAUGAGGAAACUUGCCUAAUUUCAUAUUGCUGGUAAGUGCAGAAUGAUAUUUGACCUCAAGACUAUCAGAUUCUAAGGCACUUGCCAGGACCCUGCUACACAAUCCCAUUUCUCCUACCUGCAGCCAAACAUUUCCACUUAGAAGGUGGCAUACAACCAGAAUAGCUAGCCAGAUGCAGUGGCUCACGCCUGUUAUCCCAGCACUUUGGGAGGCCGAGGUGGGUGGAUCACCUGAGGUCAGGAGUUCGAGACCAGCCUGGCCAACAUGUUGAAACCCCAUCUCUACUAAAAAUACAAAAAUUAGCCGGGUGUGGUGGUGCGUGCCUGUAAUCUCAGCUACUCAGGAGGCUGAGACAGGAGAAUUGCUUGAACCUGGGAGGCAGAGGUUGCAGUGAGCCGAGUUAGUGCCACUGCACUCUAGCCUGGGUGACAGAGUGAGACUUUGUCUCAAAAAAAAAAAAAAAAAAAAAAGAAAUUAAAACAAGCCCCAGAAAACAGGAAUAGCCUGGUGUGUGUGCAUGGGGAUUGGGAAAGUACAAUACUGGAGAUACAGAUUUGAGACUCUGCCAUCAUUGUCAAACAUUAAGUGCUCGUAUAUAGGAAACCAUGCUAGAAAUAAAGAAUAAAAACAGGUAUAAGAUGAAGGAAUGCCAGUUCAGAGUAAUUCAGUAAAUUGGGUCUCACAGCUAGUAACUGGU